GCCCGGUUAGCUCAAUUGGAUAGAGCGUGAGACUCUUACCAUGUAAGCUACAUCUCAAGGUUGCGGGUUCGACCCCCGCAUUGGGCU